rnacentral:lncRNA from 1 species
GCCUAUCGAUUUCUUGUCUCCAAAUUAAUUGUCAGAAGUAGAAAUUACAUUCAUAAUUCACAUUUAUUUAGUUUAAAUUUCAGUAAACAAGAAGAGUACAAGUCUUUCUAUUCCACACUGACAUAAACUAUAACAACACUUUACUAGAAAAACAGUAGGUACUAUCAAUCCUUCACCACUUAAACAUCAAGCUGAACUAGUGUUCCAUCCGUCCUUGGGUCCCUAUACAAUCCAAUAACAGAUGAGGAUUAGGAUUAAGAAAUUAAUUAUACCGAAAAAAUAAAAGAUUUAGGCUGAUGGAAGAAUAGGGUUUGGUUUUCUGUGUGGCUCAAUUCGCGUCAACUGUGUUUGUGGUUGGUGGAGUGGAUUGUGGGUUGACUUGCAAUAGCACCGUCGUCGCUAAUUAAAAAUAAAAGAUUUGAUAUAUUAUUGAGGAAAGGAAACACAACAGAAGCGGAUCAAUGGCCUUUAUCUUCCCCAGUCUGGUCCAAAACAUGAAGCAAACCGUAAAGGUAAUCUUGGACCAUAGCAUUCAACUCUGCCCCCAGAAU